rnacentral:rRNA from 1 species
AAUGAACGUUGGCGGCGUGGAUUAGGCAUGCAAGUCGAGCGAGAACCCCGCAAGGGGGGACAGCGGCGAAAGGGACAGUAAUGUGUAGAUUAUCUGCCCUCAGGUCCGGGAUAGCUGCGGGAAACUGCAGGUAAUACCGGAUAACAUCUCCGGAUCAAAGGUGUGAUUCCGCCUGAGGAUGAGUCUGCAUCCUAUUAGCUAGUUGGUGGGGUAAUGGCCUACCAAGGCAUUGAUGGGUAGCAGGUGUGAGAGCACGACCUGCGUCAUUGGGACUGAGACACUGCCCAGACACCUACGGGUGGCUGCAGUCGAGAAUCUUCGGCAAUGGGCGCAAGCCUGACCGAGCGACGCCGCGUGUGGGAUGAAGGCCUUCGGGUUGUAAACCACUGUCAGAGGGGAUGAAAUGCAGGUGGGUUCUCCCAUCUGUUUGACAUAGCCUCAGAGGAAGGACGGGCUAAGUUCGU